GGGCGAUUAGCUCAGCUGGGAGAGCAUCUGCCUUACAAGCAGGGGGUCACAGGUUCGAGCCCUGUAUCGCCCA
rfam:Finegoldia magna ATCC 29328 DNA, complete genome.